rnacentral:rRNA from 1 species
CAGAGUUCAUGCCCGAAAGGGUAGACCUCCCACCCUUGUGUAUUAUUACUUUGUUGCUUUGGCGAGCUGCCUUUGGGCCUUGUAUGCUCGCCAGAGACUAAUCAAAUUCUUUUAUUAAUGUCGUCUGAGUACUAUAUAAUAGUUAA